CUCUUUUUGGGACAACAACUGGGGGGAGAGGAGAACGGCGAUUUACCCUCUUCACUUCUACACUUUGCCGUGUUUGUCAUUAAAUCAUCAAGGAUUGGGUGAGUUUUGUUAAUAAUAAGGGCAUUUCAUCUUUCCUUGAAAUUUCUCCCGUUUGCUGGCAUCUCUUGCAGCUUUGACAGAAUUCGAAGGCAUCCUUGUUCAGCGUUGGCCAGUAGGAUCCACUGUCUAAAACUUUGCUAGCAGUCUUCCUAGGUCCAAAGUGACCUCCACACGCCAGAGCAUAGCAGUGGUUAAGCACGUCCUUCUGUUCCCAUUCCGAAAUACAUCUUCUCGUUACUUGAUCUGAGCACAUCUUCCAGAGGUAAGGAUCGUCCCAAAAGUAGUACAUGGCCUUACUCUUCAACUUCAUCUUUUGGGCCCGGGAAAUUUCUUGUGAACUUAGUAUUUCUCCUGUGACCAAGUAGUUAGCCAGGUCGGCGAACCAUGCUUCUGUAUUCAGCGGAUAUUUCCCUUUAAAUCAAAUUAAUGCAUAAUCAACGAAUAACCUAACA